AGUCGAGCGAACGGACGAGAAGCUUGCUUCUCUGAUGUUAGCGGCGGACGGGUGAGUAACACGUGGAUAACCUACCUAUAAGACUGGGAUAACUUCGGGAAACCGGAGCUAAUACCGGAUAAUAUUUUGAACCGCAUGGUUCAAAAGUGAAAGACGGUCUUGCUGUCACUUAUAGAUGGAUCCGCGCUGCAUUAGCUAGUUGGUAAGGUAACGGCUUACCAAGGCAACGAUGCAUAGCCGACCUGAGAGGGUGAUCGGCCACACUGGAACUGAGACACGGUCCAGACUCCUACGGGAGGCAGCAGUAGGGAAUCUUCCGCAAUGGGCGAAAGCCUGACGGAGCAACGCCGCGUGAGUGAUGAAGGUCUUCGGAUCGUAAAACUCUGUUAUUAGGGAAGAACAUAUGUGUAAGUAACUGUGCACAUCUUGACGGUACCUAAUCAGAAAGCCACGGCUAACUACGUGCCAGCAGCCGCGGUAAUACGUAGGUGGCAAGCGUUAUCCGGAAUUAUUGGGCGUAAAGCGCGCGUAGGCGGUUUUUUAAGUCUGAUGUGAAAGCCCACGGCUCAACCGUGGAGGGUCAUUGGAAACUGGAAAACUUGAGUGCAGAAGAGGAAAGUGGAAUUCCAUGUGUAGCGGUGAAAUGCGCAGAGAUAUGGAGGAACACCAGUGGCGAAGG
rnacentral:rRNA from 1 species